rnacentral:rRNA from 1 species
UCCUACGGGAGGCAGCAGUGGGGAAUAUUGGACAAUGGGCGCAAGCCUGAUCCAGCAAUACCGCGUGUGUGAAGAAGGCCUGAGGGUUGUAAAGCACUUUCAAUAGGGAGGAAAACCUACCGGCGAAUACCCGGUAGCUUGACAUUACCUAUACAAGAAGCACCGGCUAACUCCGUGCCAGCAGCCGCGGUAAUACGGAGGGUGCAAGCGUUAAUCGGAAUUACUGGGCGUAAAGCGUGCGUAGGCGGUUAAUUAAGUCAGAUGUGAAAGCCCCGGGCUUAACCUGGGAACUGCAUUUGAUACUGGUUAACUAGAGUUUAAUAGAGGGGAGUGGAAUUUCAGGUGUAGCGGUGAAAUGCGUAGAUAUCUGAAGGAACACCAGUGGCGAAGGCGACUCCCUGGAUUAAAACUGACGCUGAGGUACGAAAGCGUGGGUAGCAAACAGGAUU